rnacentral:rRNA from 1 species
GACGAACGUUGGCGGCGUGCCUAAUACAUGCAAGUCAACUGAAAUACCGGUAGCAAUACUGGUAUGGAGGUGGCGCACGGGUGAGUAACACGUAGGUAAUCUGCCUUCAGGUCUGACAUAACCCAUCGAAAGGUGAGCUAAUAUCAGAUGAUGCAGCGGCUUGACAUCAAGACAGUUGUUAAAGCUUCGGCGCCUGAAGAUGAGCCUGCGCUGAUUAGCUAGUUGGCGGGUAACGGCCCACCAAGGCUGCGAUCAGUAGCUGGUCUGAGAGGAUGAUCAGUCACACUGGAACUGAGACACGGUCCAGACUCCUACGGGAGCAGCAGUAAGGAAUAUUGCUCAAUGGCCGAAAGGCUGAAGCAGCAACGCCGCGUGAGGGAUGAAGGGCUUUUGCUUGUAAACCUCUGUAGCGAGAGAC